AUUGAACGCUGGCGGCAUGCUUUACACAUGCAAGUCGAACGGUAACAGGGUGCUUGCACCGCUGACGAGUGGCGAACGGGUGAGUGAUGCAUCGGAAUGUACCGUGUAAUGGGGGAUAGCUCGGCGAAAGCCGGAUUAAUACCGCAUACGCCCUGAGGGGGAAAGUGGGGGACCGAAAGGCCUCACGUUAUACGAGCAGCCGAUGUCUGAUUAGCUAGUUGGUGAGGUAAAGGCUCACCAAGGCGUCGAUCAGUAGCGGGUCUGAGAGGAUGAUCCGCCACACUGGGACUGAGACACGGCCCAGACUCCUACGGGAGGCAGCAGUGGGGAAUUUUGGACAAUGGGCGCAAGCCUGAUCCAGCCAUGCCGCGUGUCUGAAGAAGGCCUUCGGGUUGUAAAGGACUUUUGUCCGGGAGCAAAUCCUAGUGGUUAAUAACCGCUGGGUCUGAGAGUACCGGAAGAAUAAGCACCGGCUAACUACGUG
rnacentral:rRNA from 1 species